rnacentral:rRNA from 1 species
UUGACCUCGGAUCAGGUAGGGAUACCCGCUGAACUUAAGCAACCAACAGGGAUUGCCUCAGUAACGGCGAGUGAAGCGGCAAAAGCUCAAAUUUUAAAGCUGACAUCUUCGGUGUUCGCGUUGUAAUUUUGUGAGGCAUCUCCGGGUAGGGCGCCGGCCUAAGUUCCUUGGAACAGGACGUCACAGAGGGUGAGAAUCCCGUGCUUGGCUGGCUGUCCCCGUCCAUGUGAGGUGUCUUCGACGAGUCGAGUUGUUUGGGAAUGCAGCUCAAAAUGGGUGGUAAAUUUCAUCUAAAGCUAAAUAUUGGUGGGAGACCGAUAGCGCACAAGUAGAGUGAUCGAAAGAUGAAAAGCACUUUGAAAAUAGAGUUAAAAAGUACGUGAAAUUGUUGAAAGGGAAGCGCUUGAGACCAGACUUCGGUAAGGGGUGAUCAGCCGUCCUUCUGGGCGGUGCACUUGCCCCCCUCCGGGCCAGCAUCGGUUGAGGCGGUGGGAUAAAGGUCCCGGGAAUGUGGCUCCUUCACGGGAGUGUUAUAGCCCGGGUGAAUGCCGACAGCUUCGACCGAGGACCGCACCCGCAA